CGGAUUGUAGUCUGCAACCCGACUACAUGAAGCUGGAAUCGCUAGUAAUCGCGGAUCAGAAUGCCGCGGUGAAUACGUUCCCGGGUCUUGUACACACCGCCCGUCACACCAUGGGAGUCGGAAAUGCCCGAAGUCUGUGACCCAACCUUAGGGAGGGAGCAGCCGAAGGCAGGUCGGAUGACUGGGGUGAAGUCGUAACAAGGUAUC
rnacentral:rRNA from 1 species